AAUGAACGUUGGCGGCGUGGAUUAGGCAUGCAAGUCGUGCGGCAGCGGGCCCUUCGGGGUGCCGGCGAGCGGCGAAAGGGAGAGUAACGCGUGGGUCACCUACCUUUAGACCCGGGAUAGCAGCGGGAAACUGCUGGUAAUACCGGAUAAUGUCUCCGGACCAAAGGUGUGAUUCCGUCUAGAGAUGGGCCCGCGUCCUAUUAGCUUGUUGGUGGGGUAAUGGCCUACCAAGGCUGUGAUGGGUACCGGGUGUGAGAGCAUGGCCCGGCUCACUGGGACUGAGACACUGCCCAGACACCUACGGGUGGCUGCAGUCGAGAAUCUUCGGCAAUGGGCGCAAGCCUGACCGAGCGACGCCGCGUGCGGGAUGAAGGCCUUCGGGUUGUAAACCGCUGUCAGAGGGGAAGAAAUGUUAGUAGGUUCUCCUACUAAUUUGACUGAUCCUCAGAGGAAGCACGGGCUAAGUUCG
rnacentral:rRNA from 1 species